UACGUAGGGGGCAAGCGUUGUCCGGAUUCAUUGGGCGUAAAGAGCGUGUAGGCGGCCAGGUAGGUCGGUUGUGAAAACUGGAGGCUCAACCUUCAGAGGUCGACCGAAACCAUCUGGCUAGAGUCCGGGAGAGGAGAGUGGAAUUCCUGGUGUAGCGGUGAAAUGCGCAGAUAUCAGGAAGAACACCCGUGGCGAAGGCGGGUCUCUGGGCAACAACUGACGCU
rnacentral:rRNA from 1 species